AAUAAAGUGCCUGAUAAAAAGGAUUAUUCUGAUAGGAUAAAUCAUGUAGAAUUCUACCUUUAUUA
rnacentral:tRNA from 1 species